UCUUAUGACUUUUUUGCUUUGCAGUGAGGAUGUGGGUGAAACCACUUGAAUGCUGAUAAUUUUUCAAUGUCAUCCUACAGCCCUUGUUUACUCCUUGACAAAGAUAAGUUAGCUCAUAGUUCUUUGAGGCAGAAUCAUAAAGUAGUCAUUUAUAGUGUAAUUUGUAUUGUGCUCUCAAAAGUACUAUUCAUACAAAACCCCACAGAGAAUAUUAUAUUUGAAUGUGGUUUUGAAGCCUAUCCACUCUCACUUGGAUAAAUCUGCCUGGCAUGCAGGGGUGCUGCUGCUGAUCCCCCGCAAUAGGUCUGUAGGGAAGAUAUGCCCUCAGUAGAGACAUUGCUCAUUGGCCUUAUCUCAUUAGUAUGUUUCUACAUGGUGUGUUAAAUUAAGUGUUUCAUAAGCCUGACAUAUGCUGAGCUCACUGAGUAAGGUGUGAUCUGAGAAAUUUGGUAGCCAGCUUUAGAUCAAUUGGUACAGGCUGUCUUUUGGUAGGAGCAGCCCUGUGGUGCUUUAAGCCUGGUUGCAUACCUUGCUCUGCUUACCCUCUGCUAUUUUCUCAGAAAUGUCUCUAUUCUCGUAGUUCCCACAGAGUGGGACUUGUAUGGCUGGAACCUGUUUACAAAAGAGCCAAAAAAAGUAGAACGGAAACCUAACAGGAACUCUGAAAAUACUGGCCACUUUGAAAACAGGACCUAAGUGAACCACACCAGAACUGUACAACAGGGCUGUGGUCUCAUCUGGUAACAUGUCACAUGUACUCCUCCGACGUGUUUUUCCAACUGACCGAAGAAGCUCUGGGAAGGCAUGCUCCGAUGGGUUUUGACUUCUUACACAGUUUUAGUUUUGUCAAACAGGAAGAAAAUGUUUGAUUACAAAGACUUAAGAAAGCUGCUUACGUCACAUCAAGUGCACAGCCAGCAAAUUGAAAGCAGAGAAGAUGAAAAGUUUAUGGCAAUGGUGAAGCAGAAUGGUCAGGCCGUUUACAAAGCUACUUCACUAUUUAACUCCUUGGUGUUGUUUUAGGAAGCUGAGAUGUGUUGCGGUUACAGCAGGAGGUAAUUUGUUUCAGCAGCAUCACUUGGAGUCAGUGUUCCCCACAGUAUAAGUAGUAGCACUGCCUGGCAAUGUGUCGUGUAUUCUAACAGGCUCCUUUUCUAUUGUGCUUGACAAGAAAGUAUCUGACCCAUAGGCCAGGUAUAGUUUCACUCUGUGCUGGUAUCUUGGAGCCAAUAAAGGUCUUUCCUUGCCUUCUUUUCCCUUGCUUUGCAGCCAUGCUGGAACAGCACAGCGUAGCUUUGGGCUGCCUGUGCCCUCAAUUGCUGCACGCUAAUAACAACAAGGCUUUGGAACAGGAAAAAACAGAAUGGUUUGAAUGUUAUUCUUUCUAAAUCACUGUU